GCCGCUAUCGUCUAACGGUUAGGACAUCAGGUUCUCAUCCUGGAAAUCGGGGUUCGACUCCCCGUAGCGGUACCA
rnacentral:tRNA from 1 species